UGAUUGAAGCUUGCUUCAAUUGAUGGCGACCGGCGCACGGGUGAGUAACACGUAUCCAACCUGCCGAUAACUCGGGGAUAGCCUUUCGAAAGAAAGAUUAAUACCUCAUGGUUUAUAUUUGCCGCAUGGCAGAUAUAAUAAAGAUUUAUCGGUAUAUGAUGGGGAUGCGUCCCAUUAGAUAGUAGGCGGGUAACGGCCUACCAAAGCGACGAUCAGUAGCCGGCCUGAGAGGGUGAACGGCCACAUUGGGACUGAGACACGGCCCAAACUCC
rnacentral:rRNA from 1 species